GGUGACCAGAGAGCACUUGGCGAAGAGUGGGGGAUGAAGAAUGUGAUCAGGUGCUGGACUAGGAUGUGUGGGUUACAAAGCAGCGAAUUGAUAUGGACUUGGUGCUUAAAGUAUGUGGGAGGGCAGAAUGAAUCCUUGAUGGUAGACCCAGAGAAGGCAUCAGCCUUCAUCCCGUGAAACCCACCAAACCGAAAGAAAAAGAGGGGAUGUGACUUCUUGAAGAUCGUGCAUAUGGAAACCUCUGACUUAUAAAGGAAACAUAUAUUUUAUAAGGAGCAUUGAUCUGAGGUAAUAUAGUAGCAGCGUGACGUUUGUCCAUAGAAACCCAAUGCAAGAUCUCACCCGCCUUAACUGCUUUCUAUAAAAUGCAGAAUCAACAGCCCUUCUUUGAAGCAGGUUUUCUCUUGGGGGAGAACCGUGCUUGGAGUACUUUGAUGACCUGUCCACAAUGGAAAGAGAAAUCCCAAAGGCCUACUUAAAUAGCCAAAGAUGAUUCCUGAACUGCUAUGCAUAGGCCAAGAAGAGAAGUAUGCGUUGUUCCUAAAGAGAUUGGACGAAGGUGCGGUGGCACUGGGGAAUGUAUUGAUGACACAGGUAUUAUAUCCUUAAGGCAAAUAUUACUCUUAGAACAGUGGAAAAGAAGACUUGGAGAGCACGUGUCACAGACAUGGGGGGAUGGAAUCAAGACUCGGACCAAUUCUGCAUGACUUCCUAGCUUAUGAUCCUUCAACCAGAAUCCAUUACCCAAGAUGGACUUCAGCCAAGCUUCUCAGCCUACAGCACUAAUGUGUAACUUCAUAAACCAUGCCCAAGGGAGAAGGCGUUCCUGUCUCCAUGGUAACCUCACUGCCUUCUCUUGUAUCUUUCUCCGUAUUCUGCUACUGGUGUUUGCUACCAAGGGUGUCUGCUCCUCACUGGCCAGUGUGUUAGCCUCAGUGCUGAGCACUCAAGAAAUGAUACCGCGAGUGGUGGUGAAAUGAAAGGAUAAGUCUUUCAAUAUAUAAAUACUUGCUACAGCAUUAGAGUAGGGGCAGUAUCAACUUCUUUUCUAAUACAUGAGAUACUGUGUCCGCUAAUUAAAACCUGAACAUGAAAAAUUGUUUGCUGCUUCUUAGAGAAAAUCACUCACAACAGGCUUUGGUGUUAAAAUAUUUCGUUUUAUAAAGCAGGCCAUGUUUGUGCCUAGCUGGUUAUGGUUUCAAAACGAUGUGCACCAAAACCUGCGGGCUGGGGGCGCCUGGGUGGCUCAGUCAGUUGAGCAUUAGACGCUUGA